rnacentral:rRNA from 1 species
UGGGGAAUAUUGGACAAUGGGCGCAAGCCUGAUCCAGCCAUGCCGCGUGAGUGAUGAAGGCCCUAGGGUUGUAAAGCUCUUUCACCGGUGAAGAUAAUGACGGUAACCGGAGAAGAAGCCCCGGCUAACUUCGUGCCAGCAGCCGCGGUAAUACGAAGGGGGCUAGCGUUGUUCGGAUUUACUGGGCGUAAAGCGCACGUAGGCGGACUAUUAAGUCAGGGGUGAAAUCCCGGGGCUCAACCCCGGAACUGCCUUUGAUACUGGUAGUCUUGAGUUCGAGAGAGGUGAGUGGAAUUCCGAGUGUAGAGGUGAAAUUCGUAGAUAUUCGGAGGAACACCAGUGGCGAAGGCGGCUCACUGGCUCGAUACUGACGCUGAGGUGCGAAAGCGAGGGGAGCAAACAGG